GUGGGGAAUAUUGGACAAUGGGCGCAAGCCUGAUCCAGCCAUGCCGCGUGAGUGAUGAAGGCCUUAGGGUUGUAAAGCUCUUUCACCGCUGAAGAUAAUGACGGUAGUCGGAGAAGAAGCCCCGGCUAACUUCGUGCCAGCAGCCGCGGUAAUACGAAGGGGGCUAGCGUUGUUCGGAUUUACUGGGCGUAAAGCGCACGUAGGCGGUUUGUUAAGUCAGGGGUGAAAUCCCGGAGCUCAACUCCGGAAAUGCCUUUGAUACUGGCAAGCUAGAGUCCGGAAGAGGUAAGUGGAACUCCUAGUGUAGAGGUGGAAUUCGUAGAUAUUAGGAAGAACACCAGUGGCGAAGGCGGCUUACUGGUCCGGAACUGACGCUGAGGUGCGAAAGCGUGGGGAGCAAACAGGAUUAGAAACCCGAGUAGUC
rnacentral:rRNA from 1 species